CUGUAGCCAUACUUAGAUCAGUUAAAACCUGUCAGAUCUUAAUUCCAUUUAUAAAGAUAUAAAGUUUAUGUAAUACAGCCUCAGGCCUUUAUCUUAAACCAUAACAUUUAAAAUGUAUCUACAAAGGACAUCAUCAAUGUGCUAAAAGUAAAUGAGAAAAGACAAAAAAACUUAAUUCACAUUCAGCUGCUCCCACUUUUGCAGUCAUCUAAGAGCCACGUAAAGUUAAUCUUUAAUAAGACGAAUAGUUUAAUACCACUGUUAAAUGCAAUUUCUAGCAAAUCUCAAUAAUGUACUUUACAAUGAUGCGUCAAUUCACUUGUAUCAUUUACACUGAUUACUAGUGGAAAUGUGCGGGAACAUUUUCUUUUCCUCUAAGGCUGACGACUUUGAAGUCUCCCAGAUAACAGCCUUUGUUGUGAAAAGCAAAAAGUCUCACUACUAUAGUCAUAUCAGUAUCACAAGUAUGACCUCAUCUUGCAAUUGUAAAUGUGUCUUGACCAAGACUAAACAGUAUGUGAGCCACCCACCACCAAAGACACCUCUGAGAUAAAUAAGUAACACAUUCACCAUCACUCACCCUGAACCGGGGCUGCCUGAAGUAGAGCUGGUGAUCCAGUAGCAAAUACUACAAGUAACAAACUCCACAUGUUCAGUGCUGUGUCAUGUACUAGACAAAGGGAAGUACUGUAUACCUGUUUGUUGGCCCUUAACCGGUAUGGUUCUUACAAUGCUUUGAUUCUCUUCUAGUCUUUGUAAUUUUCUGAACCCUCUAGAGAUGUACCUCGCCUCUUUUAUAUGCUCAGACUAAAGUACUUGGUGACACACUCUGAGCAAUGAUGGGUGGUGCUAUGAAGAACACACCCUCGUCACUGUCUCCCACACUUCCUUUCUAUCUGCGUCUGUGCAGCCAGCAUUAACAUGCCAGACGCCUUUGCAUAAUCCACUUCAGAGAAAACCACAGUUCUGGUGAAUCUCAUGGAGUUACAGAGAUCAGUUUGUUUAUGUGUGCUGCAAUUUUAGUAUUGCUGUAAGUACGUGUUGUAAUUUUGUACUGUACUUGUUAGUGCACUAUUUGCACUGAUCUAAAUAAAAUUAUUCAUGUGUUCACUUACAGAACAUUGUGUAAAAUACUGGACCAACGUUAUAUUAAGUGCCUUUAACUACUAUGUACUAAGUAAUAAAUUAAUAAUUCGAUGCAAUUAACUAAAUAAUUUUUUAUGUUUACUUAUAACAUGUUCAUAUUUAGUAAGAUAUACACUGUAUAUGCAUGGGUAGUUCUAUAAUUUAAGGUACAUUUCAUGUCAUUGAUGGAAUUAUGUUAUGAAAUGUAUUUUAUCAAAGAAGAAUACUGCAUAUAUUUUAAGCACUUGAUUCUUUAAUUGGCUUGAAUUGUCUUUAUGUCUCUUAAAAUUUUUUGCACCGGCAAAAUAAUGUUCAAAAUAAUGAAUGAAAAAAUGUUUACUUUUUAAAAUCUAAAGACCUCAGAAAAAUAGAUUAAAAAUUCAAAUGUGUUAACCAAAUACCAAAUAUCCCCCUAAAAACAAACAAACAAACAACAACAACAAAAAAAAAUUCUGUGGUGGACAUUAAUGAAAGAACGUUUAAGGGGAGACACUGCAGGCAAAAACUGAGUUUUUUCAUGCACCUGUGAAUAUUUAGAUUUUGGGCUUUUUGGCUUUUCAUAAAGUGUUUUUUCAGACUUAUGGAAAGAAAACAUCCAAAAGACACUGUUAAGUGUUUCUUUUACAGCACUUUAUCUAUUUGUGUCAAUAGAUUUCAAUUACAAUACAUAUUUUUAAAGGCCGUUUUCUCAAAAUGAGUUUUUUCUCCAACUCUGAGCCAUAUAUCUCCACUUCAGUGGCACUUACACACACUAAACUUUACAAUUGUAUUCCUGUCUAUAUUCUGAAGGUUUUUACAGAGGGAUUUGUUCAUAUAUAAUUUUCUUGAUUAUAUACAACAUUUUAUUCCCCAAAAAAUGGUGAAAAUAUAUUGUUUUCUAGCUGUUCAAAGUAUUUUCUGAAUUAUGGAGUGACAAAAAGAGAUACCCAGAAUUCCUUCUGUAAAAACAUUGGACUCUAAUAUGUCAAAAAAAUUAAACAAGAAUUUUGAAACUGACUUCAUCCUGUGUUCAGAUUUUUGUACUAGAAAUGUAUGCAAAUUAGCGCAUAUUUCAUUAAAUAAUGCCUCAUUUGCAUAUUUAAAUAUAACAUUUUAGAAAACUUGUAAUACAAAAAAUGUUUGCAAUUAUCAAUGUAAUCAAACAACUUGGUAAGUAAGGUGAUAACUAUUAGUUAAUUUUUUUUCCCUAUUCACCUGCAGUGUCUCGCCUUAAAAAGAGAAGGGGAGUAAAAACUUAAAAAAAUAGUUACGUUUUUUUUUUUUUUAAUAUAUGUUUGGCCUACAAUGACUUAUUUCAAGGAGUUUACUAAUAUCCUGUCAACUAUGUUGGGUACA
rnacentral:lncRNA from 1 species